AUCCUGGCUUAGGAUGAACGCUAGCGACAGGCCUAACACAUGCAAGUCGAGGGGUAGCACAAGGAAGCUUGCUUCUGAGGUGACGACCGGCGCACGGGUGAGUAACGCGUAUGCAACCUACCUGUACGAGUGGGAUAGCCUCUCGAAAGAGAGAUUAAUACCGCAUGAUACUAUGAAGCCGCAUGGUUUUAUAGUUAAAGAUUUAUUGCUUACAGAUGGGCAUGCGUAACAUUAGCUGGUUGGUGAGGUAACGGCUCACCAAGGCAACGAUGUUUAGGGGUUCUGAGAGGAAGGUCCCCCACACUGGUACUGAGACACGGACCAGACUCCUACGGGAGGCAGCAGUGAGGAAUAUUGGUCAAUGGACGAGAGUCUGAACCAGCCAAGUCGCGUGAAAAGGAUGAAGGUCUUAUGGAUUGUAAACUUCUUUUAUACGGGAAUAAAAAAUACCACGUGUGGUAUAUUGCAUGUACCGUAUGAAUAAGGAUCGGCUAACUCCGUGCCAGCAGCCGC
rnacentral:rRNA from 1 species